rnacentral:rRNA from 1 species
CCAGACUCCUACGGGAGGCAGCAGUGAGGAAUAUUGGUCAAUGGGCGCGAGCCUGAACCAGCCAAGUCGCGUGAGGGAGGACGGCCCUACGGGUUGUAAACCUCUUUUGCCGGGGAGCAACGGGCGUCACGUGUGGCGCCACUGAGAGUACCCGGAGAAAAAGCAUCGGCUAACUCCGUGCCAGCAGCCGCGGUAAUACGGAGGAUGCGAGCGUUAUCCGGAUUUAUUGGGUUUAAAGGGUGCGUAGGUUGUUUUUUAAGUCAGCGGUGAAAGUUUGUGGCUCAACCAUAAAAUUGCCGUUGAAACUGGAAGACUUGAGUGUGUUUGAGGUAGGCGGAAUGCGUGGUGUAGCGGUGAAAUGCAUAGAUAUCACGCAGAACUCCGAUUGCGAAGGCAGCGUACCGGCGCCCAACUGACGCUGAAGCACGAAGGCGUGGGUAUCGAACAGGAUUAGAUACCCCAGUA